rnacentral:rRNA from 1 species
AAGAGUUAAAGGGCCGCGGUAUAUUGACCGUGCAAAGGUAGCAUAAUCAUUAGUCUUCUAAUUAAAGGCUGGUAUGAAUGGCUGGACGAGGUAUUAGCUGUCUCUUUAGGAAUAAUCAGAAUUUAACUUUUUAGUCAAAAGGCUAAAAUAAAAUUGGAGGACGAGAAGACCCUAUAGAUCUUUAUAUGUAGUUUGUCUAAUUUUUUUAGAAAGGUUCAGAUUUGGUGAAUAAAAUAUUUUGUUGGGGUGACAGGAAGAUAAGGGAAACUAUUUUUAAGAUUAAACCAUUGAUUUAUGAAUUUGUGAUCCGUAAUAACGAUUAAAAGAUUAAGUUACCUUAGGGAUAACAGCGUAAUCUUUUUUGAGAGUUCUAAUCGACAAAAAGGGUUGCGACCUCGAUGUUGGACUAAGGGUUAUUCUUGGGUGUAGAAGUUCAAGGUUUAGGUCUGUUCGACCUUUGAAUCCUUACGUGAUCUGAGUUC